rnacentral:rRNA from 1 species
AUUGAACGCUGGCGGCAUGCCUUACACAUGCAAGUCGAACGGUAGCACGGGAGCAAUCCUGGUGGCGAGUGGCGAACAGGUGAGUAAUAUAUCGGAACGUGCCCAGUAGUGGGGGAUAACUGCUCGAAAGAGCAGCUAAUACCGCAUACGACCUGAGGGUGAAAGGGGGGGAUCGCAAGACCUCUCGCUAUUGGAGCGGCCGAUAUCAGAUUAGCUAGUUGGUGGGGUAAAGGCCUACCAAGGCAACGAACUGUAGUUGGUCUGAGAGGACGACCAGCCACACUGGGACUGAGACACGGCCCAGACUCCUACGGGAGGCAGCAGUGGGGAAUUUUGGACAAUGGGCGCAAGCCUGAUCCGGCAAUGCCGCGUGCAGGAAGAAGGCCUUCGGGUUGUAAACUGCUUUUGUCAGGGGAGAAAUCCUCUAGGUUAAUACCCUUGGGGGGAUGACGGUACCUGAAGAAUAAGCACCGGCUAACUACGUGCCAGCCGCCGCCGUAAUAC